AGAGUUUGAUCAUGGCUCAGAUUGAACGCUGGCGGUAUGCUUAACACAUGCAAGUCGAACGGUAACAGUCCCUCACCUAGAAAUUUCUUAAAAAGAGAUUUGUAGGUGAGGGAGCUGACGAGUGGCGGACGGGUGCGUAAUGUAUAGGAAUCUGCCUAGUAGUGGGGGACAACUCGGAGAAAUUCGAGCUAAUACCGCAUAAGCCCUCCGGGGGAAAACGGGGGAUCUUCGGACCUCGUGCUAUUAGAUGAGCCUAUAUUAGAUUAGCUUGUUGGUGAGGCAAUGGCUCACCAAGGCGACGAUCUAUAGCUGGUCUGAGAGGAUGAUCAGCCACACUGGGACUGAGACACGGCCCAGACUCCUACGGGAGGCAGCAGUGGGGAAUAUUGGACAAUGGGCGAAAGCCUGAUCCAGCAAUACCGCGUGUGUGAAGAAGGCCUGAGGGUUGUAAAGCACUUUCAAUUGGGAGGAAUACCUAAUAGUUAAUAGCUAUUAGAUUGACA
rnacentral:rRNA from 1 species